rnacentral:rRNA from 1 species
AUUGAACGCUGGCGGCAGGCCUAACACAUGCCAGUCGAACGGUAACAGGAAGCAGCUUGCUGCUUUGCUGACGAGUGGCGGACGGGUGAGUAAUGUCUGGGAAACUGCCUGAUGGAGGGGGAUAACUACUGGAAACGGUAGCUAAUACCGCAUAACGUCGCAAGACCAAAGAGGGGGACCUUCGGGCCUCUUGCCAUCGGAUGUGCCCAGAUGGGAUUAGCUAGUAGGUGGGGUAACGGCUCACCUAGGCGACGAUCCCUAGCUGGUCUGAGAGGAUGACCAGCCACACUGGAACUGAGACACGGUCCAGACUCCUACGGGAGGCAGCAGUGGGGAAUAGUGCACAAUGGGCGCAAGCCUGAUGCAGCCAUGCCGCGUGUAUGAAGAAGGCCUUCGGGUUGUAAAGUACUUUCAGCGGGGAGGAAGGGAGUAAAGUUAAUACCUUUGCUCAUUGACGUUACCCGCAGAAGAAGCACCGGCGAACUCCGU